AAUUGUGAUAAAUUGGAGUGUUUGCCAUCCGGGUUGCAACUCCUAAUAAAUCUCCGACGUCUAGAAAUCCUAUGGUGUCCCCAAUUAGAGAAGCGAUGCAAGAAGGAGAAAGGAGAGGAUUGGCACAAGAUAGCACACAUCCCAGAUAUUCAGAUUAGAUUUCCCGAAUCUGAAUCCCGGAGAGAAGGCGAAUGGUGUGGACGUCUGCUGGAGUCGAAGAGGAAAUGCAUCAACGCUCUGCUUCCUACCUCUUCUUCCAAUUAACAUUUAAACACCAUAGUUUAAUCAAGGAAUGCAAGUGGGACUCAAACAAAUGAGAUGGAGAAGGGGCAUAGCAGCACAUGUGCUAUCCUUGUACAGUUGUAGGAGAACGAGCAAAGGGCAGCUGGUGGUGGUUGAACUAAAAAUCAGGCCGGCCUGUUUAUCAGGUUGCAACUUAAUAAACUUUGAAUGUCUACAAAUCUAUGGCUGUCCCCAUUUAUGGAGGCUACGCGAGAAGGAGAAAGGUGAUGAUUGGCACAAGAUAGUACACAUCCCAGAUAUUCAGAUUGGAUAGCCAUCCAAUUAUAGCUUGAAUUUUUUUGAAGAAAGAACCAAGCUAUAAACUGGGCAUGUAACUUAGGGGAGGGGAAAGGAGGAGAAAUCAGGAGGGACCCCGAGGGACCCCUGAACUAGUGUUGAUCUACAUGACAGUCCAAAGAUGUGAGUGAGCUGCAUCAUUCUUCCAUGAAGCUUUACUCUCUUCCCAUCAUAACAAUAAAGGCAAAAUGAACAAUGCGAAAGUUAACUUCUUGGCCAGUCAUGUGUGGUGGAUGUAGGUUGGUCGUAGCACACAUUCCAACUUAGGCUGAUGAUAAACUAAAACUAUGACAUGAUGUUGGUGAGCUACAUCAGGCAUCCAUCUCUCUGUUCUAAUAUUAAAGGAAUGGGCCAAGAGAGGGAAGCAAUGAUUGACUGAGGAUAGCUAGCAUCCCCACGAUGGAGCAUGUCCAUAGAAAGAUCCUUCCACAUUGAACAAAGCUCUCUUUACUUGCAUUGGGAACUGGACACUUAGAAUGCCUAAAGAUGAGAAGCAACAAUAGCUAGUGAAUGCCAACACUAAGGAUAGAAGCAUCUAUGAACAAAGAUUUCUCACCUAUGGCUGCAAGGAGGAGAGGACUACAUCUUGGAGGAACUAUCUCUCUGCAGCUUUGAACUCAUCGAAUGUGACCUUUUUGUCACUGUUGGCAUCCAUCUGAUUGAAAAAUCUCAUCAAGCUUUCCAAGUUCAGUUAUGUCUGCUGGAAGGCAGUCUUCUGGCAAGGCCUAUAUGGAUUUCAGUUAGAUGAUCUUUUCUACCACGUCCAAAGUAAAACUAUAGAUAAAUGCUAAGGCGAUUCGUGUGCAGGCAGACAGAAGAGGCAGAGAUUCAAGUCACACAUGUGCGAGAUCCAAGCUGUUCAUUAGUAUA